rnacentral:rRNA from 1 species
CAUGGCUCAGGAUGAACGCUAGCUACAGGCUUAACACAUGCAAGUCGCGGGGCAGCAUGGGGGUUGCUUGCAACCCCCGAUGGCGACCGGCGCACGGGUGAGUAACGCGUAUCCAACCUGCCCUUCACCACGGGAUAACCCGGCGAAAGUCGGACUAAUACCGUAUGUUGUCCAUUGACGGCAUCCGAUUUGGACGAAAGGCUUUGCGGUGAAGGAUGGGGAUGCGUCCGAUUAGCCAGACGGCGGGGUAACGGCCCACCGUGGCUACGAUCGGUAGGGGUUCUGAGAGGAAGGUCCCCCACACUGGAACUGAGACACGGUCCAGACUCCUACGG